GGCGUGCCUAACACAUGCAAGUCGAGCGGUAACAGGUGUAGCAAUACAUGCUGACGAGCGGCGAACGGGUGAGUAAUGCUUCGGAAUCUGCCCAAUGGUGGGGAAUAACCAGCCGAAAGGUUGGCUAAUACCGCAUAAGCCCUACGGGGGAAAGCAGGGGAUCGCAAGACCUUGCGCCGAUGGAUGAGCCGAAGUCGGAUUAGCUAGUUGGUAGGGUAACGGCCUACCAAGGCGACGAUCCGUAGCUGGUCUGAGAGGACGACCAGCCACACUGGGACUGAGACACGGCCCAGACUCCUACGGGAGGCAGCAGUGGGGAAUAUUGGACAAUGGGGGAAACCCUGAUCCAGCGACGCCGCGUGUGUGAAGAAGGCCUGCGGGUUGUAAAGCACUUUUAGUGGGGAUGAAAAGCUCAGGGCUAACACCUCUGGGUCUUGACCUAACCCACAGAAAAAGCACCGGCUAACUCUGUGCCAGCAGCCGCGGUAAUACAGAGGGUGCGAGCGUNAAUCGGAAUUACUGGGCGUAAAGCGUGCG
rnacentral:rRNA from 1 species